GCGCCUGUAGCUCAGCGGAUUAGAGCAUCUGACUACGGAUCAGAGGGUCGGGGGUUCGAGUCCCUCCAGGCGCGCCA
rnacentral:tRNA from 1 species